rnacentral:rRNA from 1 species
AUGUUUUCUGACGAAGCUCGUUGUCAGAUUAUCACCAUUAUGCAUGCAAUAUGGACCUCGAGGAACAAAUGGACCCACGAUCAGGAGGGUUUCUCCCCAGGGCAAGCGCUCAAGUGGAUCCAUGAAGCCCUCGCCAUACUCGAUUUACCUGACCGUCGACCAGGUGUACAGACGGGACGGAGCUGGAACCCCCCUGAUGUGGGGUGGAUCACCAUCAACGUUGAUGGUUCAGUUUUCCCAGACGGGUUGACAGGAGAAGCAGGCGGCGUAGCCCGAUCUCACAUUUCCUUUGUGGGGGCUUGGUGCAAACCGUUGGAGGGGGUCUCGGAUCCUUUCAUUGCUGAGCUCCUAGCGUUUCGGGAGGGUGUGAUCUUCGCUCAUCUACGCGGGAUGUCACAUGUGAUAAUGCAGGUCGACUGCAUGGAGCUGGUCACCCAAUGGAGUUCGCGCGGCAACUCAAGAUCGAUUGCAGCGCCUAUCUUUCAAGAACUUGAAGCUUUAGUCCUUAAUUUUGUUUCUUUCUCGGUUCAACAUAUUAGUAGGGAACUUAAUUUCCCUGCCCAUCUGUGUGCACAGCGUGCCUGUGCCAUGGAGGGCACGGAUUGUUGGCUCGAAGCAAGUUCAGAUUUCUUGGUCACUAGCCUACGGGCAGACUGUAACCGUAUGAUCAUUCGUUAA